UUCCAUUUCAUAGGAUGAACUACUCGGCUUCAUCAAAGAUCUGUUCAGUUUCCAAACAGCUGAUUAUAGUUCUCUAGAAAGUCUAUCGUCAGAUAUUUCUAAACUUGCUGAAAAGAGGUACGAAAACUUGAGCACUUUGUUAAGACAAGCAAACACCAAUGGUACAGGCUGACUACUACUAGUACUGAACAGCUACUUUUGUGAUAUUCCUUGUCUUCCUUGGCAAAUCUUCGCAGAAGCUGAACUCUGCCUCUGGUGAAAAUACUGCCAGGGUCGUACAAGGUCGUAAGGGAUCCUGGACAGAUCUUAUUCCGUAGAGACGUGAAAAAACACCAAUCCGUACCUUUUAGGAACGCUAUUUUCAGAGGAAUUAUUGCAACAGAGAGAUGUUGUUUCGCUCAGCUUCUGAAAGUUGUACAUUCCGUUUCGGAUAGGUGCUUUUUCAUGUCGCUACGGAAAGCUAUCUGGUUUCGCCCGUCCUUUAAUCCAGGGGUUUCAGAAUGAUUUGAAGUAGGCGGUUGUACCAAAAAAGUAGCCGGCUGUGACUGAUAGUUAAAAAAACG